UUCCGAUUGUUGAUCUUAUGUGUGUUUUUCAGUUUCAAAUAAAUGGAGUCAGAGGAUGAUCAAGUUUAUAUUCCUCAAGUAAAGGCAGAGUUGUUCAUCAUCUCAUUUAGCAGAAUAAUGUCUCAAACAUAUCAGUUCACUACUAGAAAACAUGCUCUCUAAGCUGAGAAAGCACAUUGAUGCAACACUAGGCAGUGGGAACCUAAGAGAAUCAGUAAAGCUUCCAACUGGAGAAGAUUUAAAUGAGUGGCUUGCUGUCAACAGUAAAUCUCUUUUUCAUCAUAAUUUGAAUUGUCUUUUAAUUUGUUAGUUUGUUUGGUUUGAUGAACUAGUAUUUAGAGGGGAAAUAUGUUGGAGGCAUAAGCAAGAGAUGGCGACCCUUAUACUAGUUAUUUUCAUACAGCAGCAAAUGGGAAGAGAAACUGAUGUUUGAGUGGGAGGAGAGUAGUAAUCAAGAUCUGAUUAAGCAGGAGAUUAUUGUUUGUUUAAAGAAGUUAUACCUCCAGCAGAAGUGUUGCCUUCAUGAUGCAUUUUUAAUGGCUAGAUAUAUUUCAAACAAUUUUAUAGACGUUUAGUGGUCAAUAAGUAGUGGAAAAGGUCAGAGGUGAGUAGGAAAACUAUGGAAAGUUGACUGACUUGCUGUCAAUGCUGACGUGUUUGUUUAUACAAUUAUUCAUAACUACUGUGAAAGGCAAAAGGUGCUCAAUUGUAAUACAUAAGAUGCAGCAAAAUGAAGCAUCAAGGUCCUCCCAUUUGCCUACUCAAAAUCCAUUUGAUAUUUGUCAGCAAAUCUUCAUGCUUUUUUCAGUGAAAUUGUGAAAUAGUAAUUUUUUCUUCCAAAGUUCUUUUUAUCUGUUGGCUUAGAGACUACUUUGUUGAUUGAUCAAUGUACCUUCUAUGCCUGACUGUGCACUUAAGUCCAACUUCUAGUUUUAUCAACUUUCUUUGUUUUUAUUUGUACCAUGACAGCUUCUGGAUUUUGUGGUCUGUUUGAUUCUGCAGGUUUUGGAUGCACCGAUCAGUUUAUGGCAAGACGAUUUUGUGGUCUCUUUGAUUCUGCAGGUUUUGGAAGACAUUUUGGAUCAUUUCAAGAUUAUAUGGUAGAGUGAGGAUCAUAGUCAAUUCAUUAUGUAAUGGUUUCAAUUGUGGAUACUCAAUUGUUGUUGAUUUGUAAUGAUUCCAGAAAAUGAGGAGUGGAAUGACUUAAUAUGCAAUGUUAGACUCAAAAUGUUCCAAUCUGGAGCAAAAUGACUUAA